UAGGGAAUCUUCCACAAUGGACGAAAGUCUGAUGGAGCAACGCCGCGUGAGUGAAGAAGGUUUUCGGAUCGUAAAGCUCUGUUGUUGGUGAAGAAGGAUAGAGGCAGUAACUGGUCUUUAUUUGACGGUAAUCAACCAGAAAGUCACGGCUAACUACGUGCCAGCAGCCGCGGUAAUACGUAGGUGGCAAGCGUUGUCCGGAUUUAUUGGGCGUAAAGCGAGCGCAGGCGGAAUGAUAAGUCUGAUGUGAAAGCCCACGGCUCAACCGUGGAACUGCAUCGGAAACUGUCAUUCUUGAGUGCAGAAGAGGAGAGUGGAACUCCAUGUGUAGCGGUGGAAUGCGUAGAUAUAUGGAAGAACACCAGUGGCGAAGGCGGCUCUCUGGUCUGCAACCGACGCUGAGGCUCGAAAGCAUGGGUAGCGAACAGGAUUAGAUACCCUGGUAGUCCAUGCCGUAAACGAUGAGCGCUAGGUGUUGGGGACUUUUCGGUCCUCAGUGCCGCAGCAAACGCAUUAAGCGCUCCGCCUGGGGAGUACGACCGCAAGGUUGAA
rnacentral:rRNA from 1 species